CGGAAAGAAAGAAUAAAAGAGAGCAAGAAGAGAGAGAAUACGGUCAGGAGGCAUGACAAGCAAAAGCAACAUUUCAUAUCACACGAGGAAAAUGAGAGGACAGGAAAGCGGCAGAUAAAUGAGUGAAGUGCUACUAACUGCUGUUUAAAGUGACUUUUAUUUCAAAGAACCUGGCCACUGUGAGGGGUGAAGAUGUAGAUGGCUGAAUCUGUCCAGGAGACCCGGCGCGGACGCAAGACACUUUCCCUCCAACGUCUCCAGCAAACACUCGGAGGGUUGCGGUGUCCCAGCACAGAGACGUCACAGUGGUCCCGCGAUGUUCCCAUGAUGUACACGCUCGCUCUGGACGAC